GAUGAACGCUAGCGGCAGGCCUAAUACAUGCAAGUCGAACGGUGUCUUCGGACAUAGUGGCGCACGGGUGCGUAACACGUAUGCAACCUACCUUACAUUGGGGGAUAGCCUUUCGAAAGGGAGAUUAAUACCGCAUAAGACAGUAGCUGGGCAGCCAACAGCUGUUAAAGAUUUAUCGAUGUAAGCUGGGCAUGCGUCCAAUUAGCUAGUUGGUGAGGUAACGGCUCACCAAGGCAAUGAUUGGUAGGGGAACUGAGAGGUCAAUCCCCCACACUGGCACUGAGAUACGGGCCAGACUCCUACGGGAGGCAGCAGUAGGGAAUAUUGGGCAAUGGACGCAAGUCUGACCCAGCCAUGCCGCGUGCAGGAUGAAGGCGUUAUGCGUUGUAAACUGCUUUUAUACAGGAAGAAACGACUCUUGCGAGAGGCAUUGACGGUACUGUAUGAAUAAGCACCGGCUAACUCCGUGCCAGCAGCCGCCGUAAUAC
rnacentral:rRNA from 1 species